rnacentral:rRNA from 1 species
AGUGAACGCUGGCGGUAGGCCUAACACAUGCAAGUCGAACGGCAGCACAGUAAGAGCUUGCUCUUACGGGUGGCGAGUGGCGGACGGGUGAGGAAUACAUCGGAAUCUACUUUUUCGUGGGGGAUAACGUAGGGAAACUUACGCUAAUACCGCAUACGACCUACGGGUGAAAGCAGGGGAUCUUCGGACCUUGCGCGAUUGAAUGAGCCGAUGUCGGAUUAGCUAGUUGGCGGGGUAAAGGCCCACCAAGGCGACGAUCCGUAGCUGGUCUGAGAGGAUGAUCCGCCACACUGGAACUGAGACACGGUCCAGACUCCUACGGGAGGCAGCAGCGGGGAAUAUUGGACAAUGGGCGCAAGCCUGAUCCAGCCAUACCGCGUGGGUGAAGAAGGCCUUCGGGUUGUAAAGCCCUUUUGUUGGGAAAGAAAAGCAGCAGGUUAAUACCCCGCUGUUCUGACGGUACCCAAAGAAUAAGCACCGGCUAACUUCGUG